AUGGGUGUAGCUCAAUUGGUAGAGCAACGGUCUCCAAAACCGUGCGCUGAAGGUUCGAGUCCUUCCACCUGUGCCA
rnacentral:tRNA from 1 species